CGAGAACACACGGGAGUCCGGGCGGCCGGGCUGAGAGUGCGGACCGAUUCCGCUGACCGUCGAACCUGAUCCGGGUCAUUCCGGCGAAGGAAGGUGAAACUCGGCGUGA
rnacentral:ncRNA from 1 species